rnacentral:misc_RNA from 1 species
GAUGAAGAACGUAGCGAAAUGCGAUAAGUAAUGUGAAUUGCAGAAUUCCGUGAAUCAUCGAAUCUUUGAACGCACAUUGCGCCCCCUGGUAUUCCGGGGGGCAUGCCUGUCCGAGCGUCAUUGCAACCCUCAAGCGCGGCUUGUGUGUUGGGCUUCGUCCCCCCGUGGACGUGCCCGAAAGGCAGUGGCGGCGUCCCGAAUGGUGCCCGAGCGUAUGGGAACUCUCUUCCGCUCGAACCGACCCAUUCGGCGCUGGUCGAACCUCAAUUUUUUUUUACCGGUUGACCUCGGAUCAGGUAGGGAUACCCGCUGAACUUAAGCAUAUCAAUAAGCGGAGGA